CAGGCCUCCUGUACAGGGCUCCGACGGAAGAACAGCGUUAAAGAUCGAAACAGAUUGGCCGAUCGGAAGGAAGAAGAAGCGACGAGGAUGGAAAGUCGGUCGUUCGGUCAGAAAGCGACAGUGUGUCAAAGUUCUUCCCACCAGAGACGCGGAAGCUCGUGAACGGCGCGAUAUUCCACGUCGGGUUGGACGCCAUUAAGCACAGGUGCGCUACCACCGAAUUACAAGAUAACGUUUAAAAAUCGAUAAAACUACCUUGGCGUUCCUCUCCAAAGAAACUGACUUGGUGAACUAACUUGUGUAAUCGUCGAAGAAGACAUCUUUCCCUCGUUCCAGACUGACUGUGGCAAGUUUAAAUGGUUACGUGUUCUAGCUGGAGGAGGAGAGGGGGAGAGGGGAGGGGAGGAGGAGGAAAAGGAUCAAAGUGUUGGAAAAGUAAGAUGUGGGGGUCGGUUCGUCGAAUAAAAGAGAAAGAAGUUGUGGAUAAAAGCAACAUUUGGAAUUUGUCUUAAAGACGUAUUGCUACGUAACAAGCAAACCUGGUCAAACUUGGGAAAACUUUUUAGAAGUUAGAAGAGAUA